rnacentral:rRNA from 1 species
UAGGGAAUUUUCGUCAAUGGGGGCAACCCUGAACGAGCAAUGCCGCGUGAGCGAAGAAGGUCUUCGGAUUGUAAAGCUCUGUUUGCCGGGGAAAAAGGAAGGAAAGAGGAAAUGCUUUUCUUUGGAUGGUACCCGGCCAGAAAGUCACGGCUAACUACGUGCC